UACGUAGGGUGCAAGCGUUAAUCGGAAUUACUGGGCGUAAAGCGUGCGCAGGCGGUUAUGUAAGUCUGACGUGAAAUCCCCGGGCUCAACCUGGGAAUUGCGUUGGAGACUGCAAGGCUGGAGUCUGGCAGAGGGGGGUAGAAUUCCACGUGUAGCAGUGAAAUGCGUAGAGAUGUGGAGGAACACCGAUGGCGAAGGCAGCCCCCUGGGUCAAGACUGACGCUCAUGCACGAAAGCGUGGGGAGCAAACAGG
rnacentral:rRNA from 1 species